rnacentral:ncRNA from 2 species
AGCUCGGCGGGGUCCGGUAGAGUGCGCUUGCCGACCAGCAGGGGAAUCCGGUGAGAAUCCGGAGCUGACGCGCAGCGGUGUGAGGCGGUAAGCCUCGAGUCCGAAUGCCUGCGGCCGGUACCGACCGUUG